GGCAACACCAACUAACUGCAUCUAACCCAAGAAAUAUAGAAAGAAACAUGGAAACUCAGACAAAAUUUUUUUGUUUAUUAGCAAUUUAUUUGACAUGUUCUGCUGUAUCCAGGGGUAAGCAUUUUACGUAUUACUGAAGUGAAUAAAGAGCUGAUCAUUAUCAUUUAUCCAUAUUUUUUUUUUAUUGAAUUUUAAUCGUCUAAUUUUACCUACCUGUUGUAAUAAAUAUAACUGACAGUAAAAUGUGCUGAAUGUAUUGCUGCAUUAUUAAUUAGAAAUUGUUCUUCCACAGGAAUGCCCAUGGCAAGAAUGAGUGAACUGAGGUGUGUUUGCAUAAGUACAGAGUCAAAGUUUAUCUCCCGUAAACAUUAUCAGAAUAUUGAGAUUAUUCCCAAAGGUCCACAUUGCAAAAACGUGGAAGUAAUGUAAGUAUUUUCAGUUGUAUUUUUUCUGAAUUAAUAUUUGGAACAUAAUAUUCUACUUUAGAUGUAAUGAUAAACACAAGUAAUGAUAAUCAUUUCUGUUGUUGAUAUCCCUAGAUUAACUUUAAAAAAUGGACAAGAAGUAUGCUUAGAACCAUCGGCCCCAUGGGUUAAGAAGAUUGUGGAUAAAAUUCUAGACAGGUAAAUAAAACAACUAAAAUGAUAAUGCAACUGACAAUUUCAAAUAACUUCCUUUAAUUUUCACAUACAGUAUUACAAAUGUGUUCUACAAAGCAUUGCAAAAAAACAAAUUACAUAGAGGGGACAGUGCACCCUACGAAAGGAAUGGCAAAAUGUAGAUGCUCGUAUAUUGUAGAAUUACAGAUUGCACAACGCUGUUCCAAAUCUUUAGAAUGGCCAUGCAUCAUGGAUCUUGUAGUUAUAAAACAACUGGGGAUAUACCUUUUGAGCACCCAAGCCCUGGAGGUAUUGAGAAUGCCUAGGAAAGCCUAGCCCUCUAAUAAAAUAAACUAAUAAUAUAAGAUUUCUAGGUAAAUUUGAUAACUUGUUGACUAGAAUAGCAACUUUGUUGUUAUCAGUUAUAAUCUAAACAUCUCUGGUGAUAUUAACUUAGAUUGAAUUAUAUUAUUUUAUUGGAUUAGACAACAAUUUUUGCAUAAAAUAUUAUAUGCUGCAGAUAUCAUACAUAUAUUACUACGUGUCAUAACUGUGUUGAAGAAUGGGUCUAUUUUUGCAAAAACAUGCACUCCUUUACAUAAUUUGUCAUGUUCUAAUUUGUCAUGUUCCAUCUCUCUCAACCUCUCCCUCUAUAGAUAUAUAUAUAUAUAUUAUAUAUAUUAUAAUAUAUAUUUAUUUUCUGAUCAUUGUAGUAAACAAACAUUAUAGUACCCUUUUUUUUUUUUUUAGCUCAAAGACAUCAACUGUACUUCCUCAAUAACUGGUGAAUCGAAUGGAAAGUUGUCACGAAGUACAAACUUCAACAAAGAAAAUAAAUAAAAAUUAAGCUGACUUCAAGUAAACUUGCUAUGACAAGCAUCAGAAUGGAGUGAUAUCAGCUUCUACAUUCCUAUAUUCUCCCAGCAAAUGCAUCUCAGAAUAUCUCUGAAAGAGGACAGGAAAACUGCCUCUGGGGGUUCUAUUUUCCUCCGUCAGUUUAUUCCAGCAACUGAUUGUCAAAUGGGGGAGUGUCCAUAACUG
rnacentral:lncRNA from 1 species